rnacentral:siRNA from 1 species
AUCAAAGGGAAAGAACAAAGUUGC